UGGGGAAUCUUGCGCAAUGGGCGAAAGCCUGACGCAGCAACGCCGCGUGCGGGAUGAAGGCCCUCGGGUCGUAAACCGCUUUCAGCAGGGAUGAAACUGACAGUACCUGCAGAAGAAGCCCCGGCUAACUACGUGCCAGCAGCCGCGGUAAUACGUAGGGGGCAAGCGUUAUCCGGAUUCAUUGGGCGUAAAGAGCGCGUAGGCGGCUUGUUUAGUCAGAUGUGAAAACCGGGGGCUCAACCCGCGGCCUGCAUCUGAAACUGACAGGCUUGAGUCUGGUAGAGGAAAGUGGAAUUCCUGGUGUAGCGGUGAGAUGCGCAGAUAUCAGGAGGAACACCAGUGGCGAAGGCGGCUUUCUGGGUCACGACUGACGCUGAGGCGCGAAAGCUAGGGGAGCGAACAG
rnacentral:rRNA from 1 species